AACGAACGCUGGCGGCAUGCCUAACACAUGCAAGUCGAACGAGACCUUCGGGUCUAGUGGCGCACGGGUGCGUAACGCGUGGGAACCUGCCCUUAGGUUCGGAAUAACUCCCUGAAAGGGGUGCUAAUACCGGAUAAUGUUUUCGGACCAAAGGUUUAUCGCCUUUGGAUGGGCCCGCGUUGGGUUAGCUAGUUGGUAGGGUAAAAGCCUACCAAGGCGAAGAUCCGUAGCUGGUCUGAGAGGCUGAUCAGCCACACUGGGACUGCGACACGGCCCAGACUCCUACGGGAGGGAGCAGUGGGGAAUAUUGGACAAUGGGCGAAAGCCUGAUCCAGCAAUGCCGAGUGAGUGAUGAAGGCCUUAGGGUUGUAAAGCUCUUUUACCCGGGAUGAUAAUGACAGUACCGGGAGAAUAAGCUCCGGCUAACUCCGUG
rnacentral:rRNA from 1 species